UCUUAUGUACAUGCCUACAACAUAACGUUAAUGCACCAGAUCCCAUUAGAAUUUCGUAGUUAAGUAUGCUUGGGUUAGAGUAGUACUAGGAUGGGUGACCACCUCAAAAGUCAUAGUGUUUUACAU
rnacentral:rRNA from 1 species